UCAGAAACUAACGGAUAGUUCAAAUCACCCAAACCACCAGAUUUCCGCUCCGUUUGGAUCCAUGCAAGGUGGGAAAACUGCACGAGUUUGAUAAGAGUAUAUUAUAUCAUAAAGAUGAUUUUAUAAUUUAUACAAGUGAAGAAAUAAGAGAGGGAGUCGAUAAGAAUUACCACACUGUCUACAGAUACACCCAAGACUUCUGUGUUCAACUUCUCAAAUUCUGAAUAUCGGUCACUGAAAGCAGUGAUCUCUGUGGGGAAAAAAAUAAUUAUUUAAGCAAAUCAUAAAUGGCACAAUCGAACAGCAUAUAGAUAGCCCAGUUCAAGACUCACCGGUGGGGCAAACAAAGGUGAAGUCCAGUGGGUAGAAGAAGAGAAUGACAUAUUUCUUUCCUAUGUACUCGGACAGUUUAACCUGUGGAUUAAGCAUAACUAUCAUCGAAAAAUAAUUCAUACAUGAUUUGCAAAGUAUUGGACACAGGGUACAGAAAAGAAAUUAUUCAAAGACGAAUAAAUAUCAAUAAUAUCAGAAUCUUGACAAUCGAACGAGUUAGAGAUUGUGAUCCACGGAUUCAUCAUCCGAUUAAAAUCAGUAGUAGCUUUGCCAGCAACUUUGUAUAAGAUAUAUACAUCUCUUCGAGACACGAAGUAAAUGCCAACCAAUCAAACUAAGGCUACAAUCCAAAGUGGCAAACUCAUACAACCACGUUCAUAAUGUCAUAAUCUCAAUAGAAGCUUUCUAACACCAUACUUUGUCGCAGUAAUUUUCAAGAUAAAGGGAAAACUAUAUGACUAAAUAGUUUCAAACGGCAUUCGCCGUAAGUUACCUUAAUAAAUUCCUGAUCGAAAACAGCUUCGGCCUCGAAAUUUGGAGCUACGUUUCCAACCAGCGGAAGUAUAUAUAUAUAUAUAUAUAUAUAUAUAUAUAUAUAUAUAUAUAUAUAUAUAUAUAUAUUGACAUAUGAAGACAGCCCAGGCAAAUGCAAAUUAAUAAUUUGAAUUAUUUGUAGCCACAGGUUAAAAUGUACACAACAAAUUAAAGCGAAUCUGAAAAUCUGACUUAUUUGAACUGCUAAAAUCAGUAAAUGAACAGUUCUGUGAGCUAAUGAAAUUUAACGCCGGCAAUUGUUCCUCAACCAAUUGUGAAUCGCGUUCGAAAAAUGAGUAGAAAGUACAGAUUCAGGAAAGGAUUGAAAAAAACCCCAAAUUAAACUAAUCGAACUUUGCAAAUUGUCAAAGAUUAAGAAAACCCACUCUAAAAAAUUGAAGGGAAACUAAAAAUUGAAAAAGGGGAAAAUUAAAAUGCUGUUAAAUUGGAAAUGAAGGAGGUGGGAGAGCGAAACUUACGGCACGGACGACAAAACAGCUGCGUGUUUUGGAGCGGGAGGAGAGGGAGCGGGCAACACGAGACACAAAGGGUUUGCCGGAGAAGGAGGAGGAAAGGGAAAUCGAUUGAGUAGACACUGAUGUUUUGGAAGCAACGCGAGCUUUUGGAUUCGAAGAUGCGAAAGCAGCCACCGAAGUAGCAGCUGAGCAAGCCAUUGUUCGUUCUCUCUCUCUCUCUCUCUUUCUCUCUCUAACUCAGUCUCUGUUGGUGUUGUAAAUUCGUCGAACAGUUUAUCUGUAUGGUUUGGCGUCUACCA
rnacentral:lncRNA from 1 species